rnacentral:rRNA from 1 species
CAGCAGCCGCGGGAAUACGAAGGGGGCUAGCGUUGUUCGGAAUUACUGGGCGUAAAGCGCACGUAGGCGGAUAUUUAAGUCAGGGGUGAAAUCCCAGAGCUCAACUCUGGAACUGCCUUUGAUACUGGGUAUCUUGAGUAUGGAAGAGGUGAGUGGAAUUCCGAGUGUAGAGGUGAAAUUCGUAGAUAUUCGGAGGAACACCAGUGGCGAAGGCGGCUCACUGGUCCAUUACUGACGCUGAGGUGCGAAAGCGUGGGGAGCGAACAGGAUUAGAUACCCGCGUAGUCCCUGUCUCUUAUAC